CCGCAGUGGGGUCAGGUCAUCCUCGGCAAGCGCGAGACCUUCCGCUCCUCCGAGACGGAGCUGCGUCUCAACGUCUUGAGGAUAAUUCUCCAUCCGGAAUUUUAUGCGAAUAUCUUGCACAACGACAUAGCGCUAUUGGAGCUGGAGACGCCGCUGGACCUGCCGGUGGGAGAUAAUUUCAUAGCACCGAUCUGCAUGCCACAACUUCGGAGAAAAUAUUACAAUGACGAGGCCCAGAUGGUCGGAUGGGGCCUUCAUGGGUUCAAAGCAAAUCCAGCGAGCGAGGAGAGCCGUCCACCCGUUCUGCGCAGUGUGCCAAUGAGGACUAUGCGCAUCGGCCGCUGUUCAUAUCGCAUCAUAAAAACGACUGGGAAGAUCUUCGUUGUAACACCGAGCAC